rnacentral:rRNA from 1 species
CCGCGUGGGGAAUGAAGGCCAUCUGGGUUGUAACCUGCUUUUGCAGGGGAAUAAACCACCGAUUGCGUUGGGUGCUGCAGGUACCGUCCGAAUAAGCACCGGCUAACUCCGUGCCAGCAGCCGCGGUAAUACGGAGGGUGCGAGCGUUAUCCGGAAUCACUGGGUUUAAAGGGUGCGUAGGCGGCCCGGUUAGUCAGUUGUGAAAUACCCUUGCUUAACGAGCGGAGUUGCGAUUGAUACUGUCGGGCUUGAAUUAGGAUGAGGCAGGCGGAAUGUGGCGUGUAGCGGUGAAAUGCAUAGAUAUGCCAUAGAACACCCAUUGCGAAGGCAGCCUGCUGGGCCUGGAUUGACGCUGAGGCACGAAAGCGUGGGGAGCAAACAGGAUUAGAUACCCUGGUAGUCCACGCCCUAAACGAUGCUUACUUGCUGUUUCUGGGCGACUGGGAACGGCGGAGCGAAAGCGUUAAGUAAGCCACCUGGGGAGUACGCCGGCAACGGUGAAACUCAAAUGAAUUGACGG